CUUCCAGCCUUUCGCUUUCCUACCCGGACUCAUGAAAAAGGAGUUUCCGUCCGAUGUGAUCCGUCGGGCUCAGCCGGUUCGCUGCGAAUGGGGAAUAAAGUCCAGCGGGAGAUGUGUUGUGGAAAGCUCCAAGCAACUGUCUCUAUGUGUUUUGCACACACAUGCAGGAAGAGUAAACAUCGUUUGGAGAAGGUGACAUUCACGUCAUCUCAAUCGCGUCAGCAGGGUGAAGUCCGAUCCAGGUCCGGACGGGUAAAAUCCACUCCUGAACACGGCUGAAGGCAGCUGCCUGAAGUCGUCUACUGAUGCCCAGGAAAUAUUCCUCGCUCUCAAGCUGUGAUUCUGCCCCAAGGAGCAGCCGGUCCAUCAUCUCGUGGCGAAUAUCCAGAACCUCUUCAGCCUCCAACUUACCAGACCAGAACCUGAUGUCAGCACCAACUUUUCUGCUCUGGCGAGUUUCUGUGGGGUCAGACAGAAAAAUGUAUAUGAAUGUAUGCAUAUUAUGACUCUCUUAAGGUCUUCUUGCAGAGGUGAGCAUCAUAUUAACAAAAGCACAACGACAAUUACGUAAAAGCUAUGAAAUACCGAUUUCACAACAAUUAUGUACAGCUCAUAAACCGGACUGACCAGAAUGCAAAUGGAUGUUAAUCAUUACUUCAAAGGGAGAAGGAGAAUACAUCAACAGCAGACACACUUUGGCGGUUUCUCUCUCUCUGGUUCCCCUAACCAGACACCUGCAGGCGGGGAAGCCCUGGGAGUCUGCUCCUCCAUCUCCCCGUCGACGUCCUCGUCG